UACGUAGGGCGCAAGCUUUGUCCGGAAUUAUUGGGCGUAAGGAGCUCGUAGGCGGCCUGUCGCGUCUGCUGUGAAAUCCCGGGGCUUAACCCCGGGCGUGCAGUGGAUACGGGCUGGCUGGAGGCAGGCAGGGGAGAACGGAAUUCCCGGUGUAGCGGUGAAAUGCGCAGAUAUCGGGAGGAACACCGGUGGCGAAGGCGGUUCUCUGGGCCUGUACUGACGCUGAGGAGCGAAAGCGUGGGGAGCGAACAGG
rnacentral:rRNA from 1 species